rnacentral:lncRNA from 1 species
UUUAUAUAACUUAUGUGUUGGAAAGUUUGGGGUGGUAUGGUGUUUAAUGGUGGAGGUUUGAAUUGGAGUGGGUUAUAUUUAUUUCCUGGUGAGAAUGGAUUGGUGAGGUUACAAUCCAAUUAACAGGGCUAGUGGUAUCCCCGAAGAUUCUGGUUGCAUCCUCGGAUGAAAGUAGAUGAGGAAAGGUUGCUAUCAUUUAUGCCAUCUCCCAUGACCAAGCUCUCACGUCAUUUCACAGUGGAUAGGUAUGGAUUUCGCCGUUCCAAACAUGGGUGUCUUACCAC